ACAAUGGACGAAAGUCUGAUGGAGCAACGCCGCGUGAGUGAAGAAGGUUUUCGGAUCGUAAAACUCUGUUGUUGGAGAAGAACGUAUUUGAUAGUAACUGAUCAGGUAGUGACGGUAUCCAACCAGAAAGCCACGGCUAACUACGUGCCAGCAGCCGCGGUAAUACGUAGGUGGCAAGCGUUGUCCGGAUUUAUUGGGCGUAAAGCGAGCGCAGGCGGUUUCUUAAGUCUGAUGUGAAAGCCUUCGGCUCAACCGAAGAAGUGCAUCGGAAACUGGGAAACUUGAGUGCAGAAGAGGACAGUGGAACUCCAUGUGUAGCGGUGAAAUGCGUAGAUAUAUGGAAGAACACCAGUGGCGAAGGCGGCUGUCUGGUCUGUAACUGACGCUGAGGCUCGAAAGCAUGGGUAGCAAACAGGAUUAGAUACCCUGGUAGUCCAUGCCGUAAACGAUGAGUGCUAGGUGUUGGAGGGUUUCCGCCCUUCAGUGCCGCAGCUAACGCAUUAAGCACUCCGCCUGGGGAGUACGACCGCAAGGUUGAAACUCAAAGGAAUUGACGGGGCCCC
rnacentral:rRNA from 1 species